UUUCAUUUCUUCUUGGUGGUUGUGUGCAUGCGGUGGGAUUGUGAGAGUGCGUGUGUGAGCUGUGGCGCAACGUUGACUUCUUCCGAGUGUGGUCUUCUUGGCGAUAGGUUGUGUGUCCAAACUGUGAUGGUGUCUGCGCUGUUUGAUAUGUAGAUUUGGAUUCUUUGAGGCUCUUCUGCGUUUUCAUCGUUGUAUAUAAUUAUGCUCGUUUGCCUUCUCGACAUGGGUCUGGUUGUGUGUGUUGGGUUGCGUGACGUUUGCGAUUGUGUUUAGGUGCUUUCGUUGUCGUGCUAGGCGUGUGUAUUCCUGACUACGGUGGAUUGUGCGUCCAUGAGCGAUUGCGUUUGACCGAUUUCGUUGUGUCCCGCUGGACAAUGUUGGGGCCUGACCCAGUCUGCUUGUGCGGCAGUGUUAGGCUGUGCUUAGUUUGCUUCCCUUCUAUGGGGAUGGACCUCCUGUGGCCCUGUCCGCACCGGGUUGUAUGCUUGUGUGCUAGUGUCCUCUGGAAGUGCAUUUGUAAAUCGCUGGGGGGUGGAAGGGAGGGCGAGCAAACAAGAGAUGGAAGCGCUAGUUGAGGAGGCGGCAUGGGGGCGGGGAGAGGGAUUUCACAUUUUAUUCCAAAUUAUGAUGUAUUCGGAAGCCAGUAUUGGCUUGAAUGGCAGACGGAGCCGGAUCGGCGGCUGCUCUGUCUGGAGGUCAGUCUGUGCCUCGGUGUUGGAGGGGUCUGUUAGUUAGCGGGAGGCUCUUCCAGGCUGGAAGCUGAGCAGCGCUCGCGGAGGCCCGCGCCUUCAAGCCGGUAGCCGCCCGCUUCGGUUCCCGCGGCACUCAGGCUUCGUCCAUUUCUGACCGCCCAGGACCACACCGUGGCCUAACUGCCGGUCUUUCUGCGAGAAAGGGGGAAAGCAAGGACCCCCAUCCACAACCUGGACCUCAGCUCCUGUCCCUCUCCGCCGGAGGAGUGGAGAUCCUAUUUAGAGGGGCCAGUCUCUCUAAAUAUGCCCCAGGAUGACCGAGCGGCCGCCCAGCGAGGCGGCACGCAGUGACCCCUCGCUAGAGGGACGGGACGCGGCCGAGGCCCGCAUGGCCCCCCCCGCACCUGGUCCUG